rnacentral:rRNA from 1 species
AUGUAGCAAUACAUGGCGUACUGCUCAGUAACACGUGGACAACCUGCCCUUAGGACGGGUAUAAACCCGGGAAACUGGGUAUAAUUCCCGAUAGGCCUCGUCUGCUGGAAUGCAUCGAGAUCCAAAGCUCCGGCGCCUAAGGAUGGGUCUGCGGCCUAUCAGGUAGUAGUGGGUGUAGCGUACCUACUAGCCUACGACGGGUACGGGUUGUGAGAGCAAGAGCCCGGAGAUGGAUUCUGAGACACUAAUCCAGGCCCUACGGGGUGCAGCAGGCGCGAAAACUUUACAAUGCUGGGAACAGCGAUAAGGGAACCUCGAGUGCCAGGUUACAAAUCUGGCUGUCGUGAUGCCUAAAAAGCAUUAUAUAGCAAGGGCCGGGCAAGACCGGUGCCAGCCGCCGCGGUAACACCGGCGGCUCGAGUGGUAACCGUUAUUAUUGGGUCUAAAGGGUCUGUAGCCGGCCGGAUAAGUCUCUUGGGAAAUCUGGCAGCUUAACUGUCAGGCUUUCAGGGGAUACUGUCUGGCUCGAGGCCGGGAGAGGUGAGAGGUACUUCAGGGGUAGGGGUGAAAUCUUGUAAUCCUUGAAGGACCACCAGUGGCGAA